rnacentral:lncRNA from 1 species
UCUCGACAAAUUAAACAUCAAUCACUUGAAUUAUUUCAGGUCAUUCCAACUGGUUCCGUCGCCCUAUGCUAAAAAUAAUAAUAAUAGGAAAAUCGUUUGGGGGAAAGUAGAUUGCCAAAUUAAAAUAUUGUUCAUUAGUGUAUAUUCCUCUAAACAAUAAAGGUUCAGUAGUGCAAUAUCAAUACAAAAUUAGGCAUAUUUCUAAUCAGAAAUGUAGCAAAGAACUCAAAGAUGUC